rnacentral:lncRNA from 1 species
GCAUUGGCAGGCAGAUUCUUUACCACUGAGCCACCAGGGAAGCCCAGUUACUAUUGUAACUUGUCCUUAAUGUGUCACCUCAUCAUAGCUGUCUUUAAAUGCCUCCAACAGUUUAUGUUUUCCUUCCCUGUUGCUUAUGUUGUUUUCUCACUAUUUGAUUAAAUAAUCUUAACAAUAUUUGAUAUUUUCAUUGAUCCAUUUAAAUAUUGAUUGAAGCAAUGGAAAAAAAUCCAUAUAUAAAAUAAACUAAAAUCUAUAAUUCUAUGGACUUUACAUUCCAAAAUGGGGUUCAGACUAUCAAAACCUGAAUAACAAAAAUAUUUAAUAUGGCUGAUUAUAAUAAAUGCUGUGGCAGAAACAAUGCAGAGAAGCUGGUAUUAUUUGAUCAGAACUGAUUUAUUUCAUAUGAUAGGAUGCUGCUUCUUUAGAACUGAGUUUUUGUUGCUUACUAUACCUUGGAGCACCUAGUGAGUUCUUUAAAAAAAUGGUUGCUGUAUCGUUAUCUCUCUACAUCCUGUUUUUUCCUUCUAGUUGCUCCUGUACUUUGAUAGUGAAGAAAUCUUACAGAAAUGUAUUUCUGAGAAAAAAAAACGAAAGAGGACUUUCAUUCUCACUAGAUAAGUGAAGAGGAUGCUUGCAAACCAAACAAUAGAGAGAAGAAUACAAUGAAAACAAUGAACAAAAUUUUGAAAACUGAAGAAAAGAAAGCACAUAGAAAAUAAAGGUGAUUUAGUCUUUCUUUUUGCAAGAAAGGCUAUAAAAGUGAAUCAUACUGCAAUGAAAAUGAAUCUUAUCUAACCACACAUUUAUUUAUACUUGCUCAUAGAUGUAUUAACAGCAGCAAGUACAAAUAUAUUAUUUCUCCUGUGUUAUUCCAAGGUACUUUCACUAACUACAUAGUCAAACAAAACAAGUAGUAAAGAUUUGGUGAUGAUACCUAAGCAACUCUCCACACAUUUUCUACUGCUGAUUUGCACUUCAAUUAUCCAUUUUAAUUUUGAGAAACAGACACCUCCAGUAAGAGUAGAGUGAAAAUCACUGUAUUGCCCUCUUAAGCAUUUUGUCUCUAUGGAAAAGCUGUAGGAUUAUCCUAGAUGAAGACAGUGAGUUCCACCAUCAGUUACUUGCAGUUUGUCUCAGAGCAGUAGAUGUGAGUUAUAUCUCUCAGGGGUGUGUCUUCAGGCUUUGCAAAUAGGUACUGCACAGUCCUGAUAAAGAAAUCCAAUCAUCCUUUUAAAACGACUCAAACAUAU